rnacentral:rRNA from 1 species
GAUGAACGCUAGCGGCAGGCCUAACACAUGCAAGUCGAGGGGUAACGGGGUAGCUUGCUACCGCCGACGACCGGCGCACGGGUGCGGAACGCGUAUGGAACCUGCCCCUGUCAGGGGAAUAGCCCAGAGAAAUUUGGAUUAAUGCCCCAUGGUAUCAUUCCGGCACAUGUUGGAAUGAUUAAAGAUUUAUCGGACAGGGAUGGCCAUGCGUACCAUUAGCUAGUUGGUAAGGUAACGGCUUACCAAGGCAACGAUGGUUAGGGGCCCUGAGAGGGGGAUCCCCCACACUGGUACUGAGACACGGACCAGACUCCUACGGGAGGCAGCAGUGAGGAAUAUUGGACAAUGGGCGGGAGCCUGAUCCAGCCAUGCCGCGUGCAGGAUGACGGCCCUAUGGGUUGUAAACUGCUUUUACAUGGGAAGACACCCAUCCACGUGUGGAUGGCCGACGGUACCAUGGGAAUAAGGACCGGCUAACUCCG